AAAAAAAAGAAAAAAAAAAUCCUUUUGAGAAUAUGAGAUCAACACUCCCUGGGUUGGAUCUGGUUGGAGGUCAACACCAGCAACAUCCCAAACCAAGUUGACAUUCUACUUGCAACUUAAAACACAUGACACUGGUAUCAGUAAGAGGACAAUCACCAAUCACAAAAACAAUCCAAAUUAAUCAUGAAGCUGGACAAUUCUAGUUGCAAGUCAAAAUUAGAUCUCACAAUAAAACAGUAAGUAAAAGUAUUUGGGGCCGCCAGAAAAUCAACACACAUGCUAAUUAUGUAUAAAUUAAUACAUUGCUUGUGCACAAAGAGGUUUCAUUACUGUAACUGUAUGUGUGCAUGCAAAAAAUGAUGUCUAGUAGUUCAUUCUUCAAUAAAAAUAAUGAUACUCAGGGAAGAAAGCAGUCUUAUAAAAGCAAUUAGACAUGUUGAAUGUUAAAAUUUAAGCUAUCUUCAAUAAAUUCAGUAAUAAUGGGCUGGUGAAAUCUUGUUAAAAGGAUAAAAGAAAAGGAUUGACCCAUCAACUAACAAUUCCACUGAGAAAUUAGUUACUGCAUAUAUUCAAAGACCAUAUAUGAGAAUAUCAAAAGUUCAGCUAAUAAAUAAAAUGAAUAAAGAUAUGUUAAUAUAAUGAUGCCCCCUCCAUUUACAGAUUUCUUGGCUUUUACUAAGAAUCUGAAUCUAGUUUAACAUAGAAAUAUGAGUUUAUAGAGUCUGUUGCAAUGCAUCAAGACAAUAGGGUGGCUACAUGAUUGCAUAUAGUGCACAAGGUAACAUUUUUAGAACAAAUUCCAAGAAAUGCAGCGUCCACCUUAUAGAAUUAAUUUGAUCCCCAAAAAA
rnacentral:misc_RNA from 1 species